AACAAAACAGUAAUUUUAUCACAAACCACAAAGUUAUUAAAUAACCUCUGAAUGACCUCCUUUUUAAGUUGAACGUUGUAUAUAUCAAUACAGGCUUGAAAAAAGCAUGUUAUUCCAGGCUUCUUUUACAUUCAAAUAAAAAGAAUACCUAUUCGUUUUUAAUCACCUGCCAAAAAUGUUAACGCAUAUGAAAAAAAAUCGAAAUCUCAUGUGUAACCACAAUCUGAAACACCUACGCUUCUGUAGGUCAUCUCUAUUGGCAUCAGUGAUAGAGGAACUUCCCUGAGCACUGUUUUCUCUUUCCUCUGACACCUGCUGAAGCUGUGUCAGCUGUUACUGAACUUCACCCCAUGUGAAGACUUGUUAUACUAAAAGAAUGUCACAGCCAUAAUUUGCAUUACAGUCAAAUAAGACCCAAAUAAGGAAAAGCAUAUAAAGUGCAAAUAAACAUGCAUCCUUCUGACUCACAUUGGAGGUUGUAUUAUACUGCUGAACAAGCCACUCUUUAACUUCUUUUAAACUCCAGGGUUUUAUAUUUAGACUUUUAAAGAAUGAUCAUGGCCUGAACUGACUAGUUUUUAUUUGUUUUAAGUUAAUAAAACCAUGAAGCAGAGGUGUUUAAUAAAUGUUUUAUUCUCCAAUUAACAAAACUUACUCUUUAAAUUAAACUUUGGUUUUUACCUUGCGAAUCAUGUUUGCCCGUGUAUGAUAAUUCAUAAGUCUUUGUUAAUUCCAAGGAAAAAAAACAAGUUAACUUUAAUGUUAUAUAACACUAAUUAAACCAAAUAAACAUGUUUUUGCCACUUCAAACAUGCGACUGAGGUUGUUGCAUUAGGCAACCUAUGAGCAACAUGCUGUGAAUGUACUCAAGCAUUAGUCAGAAUGCUGAUUUGAGUGACACAAUAAUAACUCAUUCAAGAGUAAGUCUCUUUAACAAUGCACAAAGGGCACAAAGGGCUCAAAUGGAACUGAGAUCAAAUCUUUUUUUCCACCUACGUGUCAAGAUUUUGAGCAACAGAAUCUGCAAACUAAAUACAGGUAGAAUGUCACGCGCGUUUUCAGAUGGACUGCAGUCACUGCCUCGUGUUUAAAGUGAAAAGGUCUGGAAGAUGCUGAACCGUUUGUCUAGGCUGUGACUAAUUGAGUAAUUGAAGGCAGACACGUAACACAAACAUCAUACUGUAUGAUAUGUAUGAUAUAAGACAGUUUAGUUUAUUCAGAAGAGGAAAGAUUGUAUUAGAAGUAUGUAUGAUAAAAUGAGAUAUAAAUUUCUACAAAUACACUUUGAACAGACGUUAUUUGACUCUAUAUGUCUAUAUAGCAUAAAUCACUCAAAAACUCGGCUAUUUUAGGCAAAAAAAAUAUAUAUAUUUUUUUAAUCUUUACAAUAAUCAAAUAAUCUAUUUCAUCAUUAUAUUUUAGUAAAACUGGUAUGACCAUUUAAUAACCUGAGGAAAAUGACUGUAAAGGAGAAAAAGCGCAAAGCACUGGAGAACGCGUAUCAGUCACGUGCUACACGCGCGCCACACGCAAUACUGAAGGUUUUCAAGCAAGCGGUUGGGAAAGUGCAUCAUCGGAAAUUCCCAAGAAACCCCAAACCAUAUACUCAGUUCAAUGUGUUUCUCCUGUCUGAGGUUCUCAGGCAAGGAGAGGCCAGGAUGGGGUUGCAGACCAGCGAGACAGUUUCAAGUUCAAGUGCAAGAUUACAUGUUCCUGACCGAGAGGAAGAGCCAAGAAAAAAAGUGUGGUAACUAAGCCGAGAGGAGUCAUCUGUAUGCUUCUGUAACCUUAACAGCACAUUGAUUUCGAAUGAGUGAAAAAGUGAAUAAGAGAAGCCGGGGAGAAAAAAUCCACCCCUCUGCUUUCUCUUCACUCCUACUCUCCUCCUCUUUCCCUCCCACUAAGAUAUUCUGUCUGAAGCCAAGCCCCUUUUCUCUCUCUUUCUCUCUCUCUCUCUCUCUCGCUCUCUCUCUCGCUCUCUCUCUCGCUCUCUCUCUCGCUCUCUCUUUCUCGAUCUGUCCUGUAUUUCUGUCCUUCACUCUCUCCUACACAUGUACAUACUAUUAAACACCACUUUUCUUCUUUUUCUUUGUCUCUCAUCAGGUCGUCUUUUAGCGGACCGCUUUUAAGAGCCUCUAGUAUUCUGUUUUUCCCAACCGGUGGAGAAACCGGCUCAAUGCGGCUCUCUCUCUCAGCUGUGUAUCACACACUGGGAUAGCCUGUUUCUCAUUGAGAGGCCCUUUUUUUCACUUGUAACACACGAGUCUUGCUCUCUUUACGGUGCAGGUUUCCCUCCCCCUCCCCUUCCUCUCUACACUUAUCCGUAAAGAAAGGAAGGAAGCGGAAGAGAGAGGUGUCUGUGAGGAGGAAUGAUGAAAAGGCAGAGAGAGGGAGAGAGAGAGAGCGAGAGAGAGAGAGAAGGAGGGGGUAAAAGAAGAGAGCAGGACUGAGGAGAGUGGACUGGCAGAAACGUGAAAUACGAGAGGGAGAAGAGUAAAGUAGGAGAGGAACCCGUAAGAGAAGAAACGAGGGAUGGCUGACCUGGAAGUGGGCAAAAUCGGGGGAAAGGAAUCCACCGUUCUAUCCCAACACUUGCUGAAGCUGGGAUGCAUCACCUGAGAUCUGCUCUGGUGCUCCUCAGGGACUACAGGUGUUCACUCCUCGUACGACAUUCAGCUCAAAGGAGACCAGCUGGUCAGUGAUCAGGUUUCGACCUAGCACCCGGAUUUUUGGGGAAAACUGGAUUACUUCAAUGCACUGUGCUGUAGGCAUUCCCUGUCCUCAUGUUACCUGAUGACAGCUGAAGGAGUCAUCCAAGUCUUAACAUGCUUUUUUGUCUCAGUGACAGCUUCAAUGAAGUGGGCCUGAAAAUGUUCCUUAAUCUGAGCAGUGCAAUGCAGUCAGAGCUCCUUUUUUCAGAGAUCCGUGAUCGAUCACAUGCACAGAAAGCCUUUUCUUUUCCCUUUGUUCCGGUCAAUUUGGAUCAUUUGCAAUAUCACGGCACCCCACCACCAUCAUCAACAGGCACACAGGCAUCACCCUCUCCCUCCCUUUUCCCUUCUCUGGCUCCCUCUCCUUCACACACACACACACACACACACACACACUCCCCAUCUCUUUACUUUGCAGCAAAAUGGUGCAUAAUGGGAGCAGGAAGAGGGUUGAAAAGACAAUGAAGUAAAUUAGCAAUAUUUCUUAAUGGGGGAACACUCCACAAGCUCAUGAACAUCACAGAUGUAUAUUGCUUUUGUCUGGAGGCACUGCAAGAUCAAGAUGAACUAGCAUCACCUAUAUUAAAAGGAUAGGAAAAUUCAGUCCUUCCAAUUCUGUCUGACUUUAUUUUUUUCUGUGGCACAUAAAAGAAGAUAUCAUGAAGGAUGUUGGAAUCCAGACAUUUUGUUUUUCACUGUAAUUGGUUUCUGUUGUAUUUAUUGUUCUUAUAGUGGAAUCAAUAGGAGCUGAUCAUUGUUUACCAAUAAACCUAUGUCUGGUUACUGCCGUAUUUUAAUUUUGACAGGAAUGAAAAUGAGGCUGUGGCAGAUAGAAGUACUACAGCAUGCUUUCAAUGGUUUUUAUAAAAAACAUACUGAUUGUGCGGCUGCUGAAACAUAUUAACAACAACAACAACAACAACAACAAAAAAAAAACAUCCAGUAGACAAAAAAAAACCUUAAGCUUUGAGUUGGUGAAAAUGAUGUGAUCUACACAAUUGUAUGUUUUUCCUUCACAGCCUUGUUUUCGUCUAAAUUUAACGUGAAUACAUUUUUCCAAAUAUAUUCUUUAACGUUCCACGUAAAAAAGGAAAAACAUGCUGGUUUGGGAAAACAUGAGGGUGUGGGAUUACACUUUUUAAUUUUUUUAUUUUUUUUGAUUACUAUCUCUUUAAGAAUCACAUGUGAG